UACGGAGGAUCCGAGCGUUAUCCGGAUUUAUUGGGUUUAAAGGGUGCGUAGGUGGCCUGUUAAGUCAGGGGUGAAAGACGGUAGCUCAACUAUCGCAGUGCCCUUGAUACUGACAAGCUUGAAACAAGUGGAGGUUGCCGGAAUGGAUGGUGUAGCGGUGAAAUGCAUAGAUAUCAUCCAGAACACCGAUUGCGAAGGCAGGUGACUACGUUUGAUUUGACACUGAGGCACGAAAGCAUGGGGAGCAAACAGG
rnacentral:rRNA from 1 species